rnacentral:tRNA from 2 species
GCGCCCGUAGCUCAGCUGGAUAGAGCGUCGCACUACGGAUGCGAAGGUCAGAGGUUCGAAUCCUCUCGGGCGUA